AAACAAAGACGAAGGAGGUGCAGGAUUAUCACAUGUGGGAGUGCACAAAGUAAAAAAAAAGGAAAAGUAUGAUGAGGUGUGUUUAGUAGAGAUGGGAGUGCAACAAGUAGAAUAUAAAACAAGCCCAAAAGUGACAAUAAAAAUGCAGAGAGAGAGAGUGAGGUCAGCAAACAUGAUGGUGCAGGAAGUAAACAAAACUCAACAAAAAAAAGCGCACAAUGACAUAGGAGUGUGGGUUAGUAAAAAUAGUGAUGCCAUCAGCAAGGAGGUGUAUGUAUAAUAAAACAAGGGCUGAAAAAGUAACAACAGGGGUGUGAGAACAUUAAAACAGUGGUGUAGAAAGUUAAUAGAGUGUCCAACCCAAAAUAACACUUAAACACAAAAAGCAAAACCCUAAAGAGAGUUUUUUCUCCUUCACACCACUCUCACUCACGGCCAGAGAGCCUCACCCACUCACAGCACCGACACCCACGUGCGCUACACCGUUCCGGCGGGCCAGGGACGCCGGCGACGACGCCGACCAUCACUCAUCGGCGACACAUCUCUUUCUCCCUCUCCAACACGCACAAGACCCUUCCUUCUCGUCAUCGCCCCCCAUCUCUGCUUCAACACACCGUCGCGCAGCUGGCUUGCCGGUGACGCCAACCGGUGCCGGAGACGUUGACCUCCUUCGCGAGACGCAACGACUCCGUUCUCGCGCUCCACAGAACUAAUCGGCUACUGCGACUUUCGCGGCUCUGACGAUCAACCAACAUCACUGCUACCAACUCCGUUCCACACCGGAGCCAUCGCUGAACCGGCCACCGUGAUUGGGACACGCGAGCACCAUGGUAACCCAACCCCCUGGCCUUCGCGACCCUAAUCGCCUCCGCUACGCCCCAAGCCUCUCGUUCUUCUUCUUGCGCGAGUCACCAAGGUUUGGAAUCCGCAUCACAGAGCCCCACUACAGUGCUCCCAACCGUGACGGAGCUGCCCUCAUUCAGCCCAUUCAAAGUGAAUGCGAAAAUGAUGAUGGAGGAAUCUUGUGUUUGUGUUAAGUGCGAUGGGAAGAAGGUGGUGAUAAGUUUUCUGGUGAAUUAAUGAUCCAAACUGUUUUAGGAUGAACGAGUAAAAAUGGUGAGAAUCUGUUUGGUUAUGUGGUGAUGAAUGAUGGUGAAACAGAGAGGAUGAAGGGGUAGUGGAUGAAACUAGUUUGGAGAUUAUGCGUGCACAGUUGAGGGAGAAUGGAGUGGUGAGAGCGUGAAGGUGGUGGAUGAAUGAUGGUGAAAGGUGGUGACAAACCUUGUUAAAGGCUAGAGGUAUGAUGAGGGUGUGAGGAUGACGAGGGUGAUAAUGGAGGAUUCUUCAACAGUAAUGUAGUAAUGCCCACAACAGAUUCAAUGAUUCAAAUAAAUGACACGCAAAAUGCAAUAUACACAACUACAUUUUAUUCAUUCUCAAGCACAACACAACAUCAUCAGUUUCAUCUCAAACAUUCAAGUAUUCAUAUGGAAAACUUACCUCUUGCAGUCCCUAUUGUCAAACGAAAGUUCCUUGAUCAAAUGGCUCUCUUCUGUUGUUUUUACUCUCUGUAAUGCAAUCUAUUUUUUUUUCAGCA